AUUUAACACGGAAGGGCCUCCCUCUCUCUUAUUUCACAACUCUCUCUCUCUCUCUCUCUCUCUAAACACUCUCCUUCGCCGGAACUACUCUAACAUUUUUCCGUCGUCGGAGCUCCAAUCAAGAUUACGACAUCACCAUUGUGUUUUUAGUGAUAUGGCACGAGAUAGCAAUACGAGGAUGACGUGAUGAUGGGAGGGGUAUUGCCAUAAGGGAUGCCCAUCCCACUUGAUUUAGGUGCAUCGUCAACAUGCACCCAACCUACUACCACCGCGACUACUACCGCUCUUGUGAUUUUUGCACCGACCUUGUCACCCAGGUUGUAGUCACAGUUGUCAUAGGGAUUAGACCCUAUCAGCAUGAUCCUUACUCUAGGUCUAUCUUCUGAUAUGAGUGGCUUUCAAACACAGCCAUAACCAUAUAUACAUCCUCAGCCUCAGCCACAAUCUCAGUCACAGCCAUGGUCUCAGCACAACCAUAGCCUCAACCCCAGCCAUAGCCACAUACAUAGAACUAAACACAACCAUUGUUAUAGCCACAGUCUUAGGCUCAGACUUGGCCACGACCAUAGCCACAGCAACAAAGAAGGUGUCACAUCUAUGCAGCCUGCUAAUCUGAGUUGGGACCUUUCGAGACCUAGGAUGGAACAUAUUACUUGGGUUUUCAAGAUCCACUAUAGGUGGUUUAAUUCAUACCCAAGUUUAUCAUGGCUUCAGAUGAAAUUCGCAAUCUUUUGUGGCGAUUAUUUAAGUACCACUUUGAGCUUGUCCCGAGAGAAGAGUAGAAGAUUUACAAUGCCUGGCGGGUAAAAGAUACCAAGUGUCUCCGGGAGAUGCUAUCAAACAUUUGCAACAACGGUACUCUUGUAGACUGAAUCCCAGACGAUAUUCUCACCCGACUAAAGGAGUAUUCAAACUCAAAUAAUUAUGGGUGACCUGGACUAAGGCACGAGGCAGUAAAGCUUCCGAGAUUGGUGGAUCCAUGCACACGGGAGGAUCAACUACUUAUAGGGUGACAAAGAAAAAGAUGGUUCGUAUUAUUUAAAUUUUUAAUUAUGUUAUUAAUUUGUCUACUUUAGUAUUGAUUAAUAUGAUACAUAAUGACUUAUUGUAAUUCUAAACCCUUUUCGCAGCGUUUGAUUACAUUGAUGGCGUCGC